UACGGAGGAUGCAAGCGUUAUCCGGAUUUAUUGGGUUUAAAGGGUGCGCAGGCGGAAAAAUAAGUCAGUGGUGAAAUCCUGCAGCUUAACUGUAGAAUUGCCGUUGAUACUGUUAUUCUUGAGUGUGGUCAAGGUAGGCGGAAUGUGUAAUGUAGCGGUGAAAUGCUUAGAUAUUACACAGAACACCGAUUGCGAAGGCAGCUUACUGGGCCAUUACUGACGCUCAUGCACGAAAGCGUGGGGAUCGAACAGGAUUAGAAACCCCAGUAGUCC
rnacentral:rRNA from 1 species